UAAAUACUCCCUCUGUUUCAAAUUACUCGUCGCAGAAAUGAAUGUAUCUAGAACUAAAAUAUAUCUAGAUACAUCCAUAUCUGUGACAAGUAAUUCGGAACGGAGGGAGUAGAUG
rnacentral:pre_miRNA from 1 species